rnacentral:lncRNA from 1 species
AUUUUGUUUUUUUUUGUUUUAGUUGAAGUAUAAAAGUAUCAAGAACGUCAAAUCUCAUUAGAAAUGAUAAAACAAUUUUACCAAUUCACAUACAUAAAAUAUGUUGUCUGCUAAAUUUGUGAGUAAUUUUCAAUAAAGCUUUGACUAUACGGCAAGUAAAAAAAAGUGAAAAUAAAUGACUCAAAAUAUUGCCCUUCCAAAAAGAAACCUUCGGUUUUUAGCUUGGUCUGUGCCACAAGGACACUGUUGGUUGUGUAAAUUCGCAAGAAAACGUAAAAAAAUAAUGAAAAAAAUAAGUAUAAAACAGAGCUAAAUAGUAUUAACCCCAAGACACCUUUCCCGCUGUAGAUUACAUUCGAAAGAAACCAGGUUUCUGUAAUUUAAUGUAAAACAGGAUUGUAAUGUUGCUAUGCUAUGCUAUGCAGUUCCUAAAAAAAAACUAAACUCAAAUCGUUCUUUUUUUUCUUCUUUUUGUCCUGACAAUGUAAGUCACAGGAGCAUGCCAAUACUCCGUAUUUGCACGAAACUAGACAAUAAAAGUUAAAGAAAAAACCUCCGACCUUAAUUAUGAUAACCAACAAAGGUUAAUCAAGUCACUAAGGUUAAUCUAAAAGUACUUUAUUUAGACAAAUGUUUAAUAGUACUGCGAAUGUAUCCGAGAAGAUCACUCAUACAUGAGCUAGGAGCAUUUUUGGAUUUCGGUAAAUUGUACAUGUGUGGUUCAUAGAACUAUCAGGCGCA